AAUGAACGUUGGCGGCGUGGAUUAGGCAUGCAAGUCGAACGCUUCAUGUAGCAAUACAUGAGGAGUGGCGUAAGGGAGAGUAAUACAUAGUUAGCUACCCUCGGGUCUGGGAUAGCGGCGGGAAACUGCCGGUAAUACCAGAUGAUAUCUUCGGAUCAAAGGUGUAAUUUCGCCCGAGGAGGUGACUGUGUCCUAUCAGCUUGUUGGCGGGGUAACGGCCCACCAAGGCUACGACGGGUAUGGGGCGUGAGAGCGUGCCCCCACUCACUGGGACGUGAGAUACUGCCCACGACACCUACGGGUGGCUGCAGUCGAGAAUCUUCGGC
rnacentral:rRNA from 1 species